UACGUAGGGGGCAAGCGUUGUCCGGAUUUAUUGGGCGUAAAGAGCGUGUAGGCGGUCUGGUAGGUCCGUUGUGAAAACUCGAGGCUCAACCUCGAGACGCCGAUGGAAACCAUCAGACUAGAGUCCGGAAGAGGAGAGUGGAAUUCCUGGUGUAGCGGUGAAAUGCGCAGAUAUCAGGAAGAACACCCGUGGCGAAGGCGGCUCUCUGGAACGCAACUGACGCUGAGACGCGAAAGCGUGGGGAGCAAACAGG
rnacentral:rRNA from 1 species